rnacentral:rRNA from 1 species
AUUGAACGCUGGCGGCAUGCCUUACACAUGCAAGUCGAACGGCAGCACGGGAGCAAUCCUGGUGGCGAGUGGCGAACGGGUGAGUAAAGUAUCGGAACGUACCUUUCAGUGGGGGAUAACGUAGCGAAAGUUACGCUAAUACCGCAUAUUCUGUGAGCAGGAAAGCAGGGGAUCGCAAGACCUUGCGCUGAUUGAGCGGCCGAUAUCAGAUUAGGUAGUUGGUGGGGUAAAGGCUCACCAAGCCAACGAUCUGUAGCUGGUCUGAGAGGACGACCAGCCACACUGGAACUGAGACACGGUCCAGACUCCUACGGGAGGCAGCAGUGGGGAAUUUUGGACAAUGGGCGCAAGCCUGAUCCAGCCAUUCCGCGUGCAGGAUGAAGG